rnacentral:misc_RNA from 1 species
GUACGGCUUUGAGUUGAUCUCGCUAACCCCAGCAUUUGGAUUAUUAAGCGAAAAUCUAACUCGAGUUGAUCUCGCUGGUGAGCAUUGGAUUAAGACAGCUGUAUAGGAGAUCAGCUUCCAAAUGUAUAUAUAUCUAAUGUGAUAUAUGGGUGUGUGAGUACUCUAAAUUAUUCUUUGUACGAGUGUUAUUUGAAUUUGGUUGAAUAUGAUGAUCUGUAAUGCAUUUCAUCCUUAGAAAUGCCUUAGAUUUAGAUAGUUAUAAAAAU